rnacentral:rRNA from 1 species
GGGUUAAGUCCCGCAACGAGCGCAACCCUUGUCAUUAGUUGCUACGAAAGGGCACUCUAAUGAGACUGCCGGUGACAAACCGGAGGAAGGUGGGGAUGACGUCAAGUCCUCAUGGCCCUUAUAGGUGGGGCUACACACGUCAUACAAUGGCUGGUACAGAGGGUUGCCAACCCGCGAGGGGGAGCUAAUCCCAUAAAACCAGUCGUAGUCCGGAUCGCAGUCUGCAACUCGACUGCGUGAAGUCGGAAUCGCUAGUAAUCGCGGAUCAGCAUGUCGCGGUGAAUACGUUCCCGGGUCUUGUACACACCGCCCGUCUCACCAUGGGAGCGGGUUCUGCCAGAAGUAGUUAGCCUAACCGCAAGGAGGGCGAUUACCACGGCAGGGUUCGUGACUGGGGUGAAGUCGUAACAAGGUAGCCGUAUCGGAAGGUGCGGCUGGAUCACCUCCUUU